UGGGGAAUAUUGGACAAUGGGGGCAACCCUGAUCCAGCCAUGCCGCGUGAGUGAUGAAGGCCUUCGGGUUGUAAAGCUCUUUUGGCGGGGACGAUGAUGACGGUACCCGCAGAAUAAGCCCCGGCUAACUUCGUGCCAGCAGCCGCGGUAAGACGAAGGGGGCUAGCGUUGUUCGGAAUUACUGGGCGUAAAGCGAGUGUAGGCGGUUGCCGUAGUCAGGUGUGAAAGCCUUGAGCUCAACUCAAGAAAUGCACUUGAUACUGGGUGACUAGAGGACCGGAGAGGAUAGUGGAAUUCCCAGUGUAGUGGUGAAAUACGUAGAGAUUGGGAAGAACACCAGUGGCGAAGGCGGCUAUCUGGACGGUUACUGACGCUAAGACUCGAAAGCGUGGGGAGCAAACAGGAUUAGAUACCCUGGUAGUCCACGCCGUAAACGAUGGGUGCUAGACGUUGGCGAGCUUGCUCGUCAGUGUCGCAGCUAACGCGUUAAGCACCCCGCCUGGGGAGUACGGCCGCAAGGGUUGAAACUCAAAAGGAAUUGACGGGGGUCAUAGCUGUUUCCU
rnacentral:rRNA from 1 species